rnacentral:rRNA from 1 species
AGCUCGCCGAGUGGUAGGGAUGAUUAUUGGGCUUAAAGCGUCCGUAGCCGGCCUCUCAAGUCUCUCGUUAAAUCCAGCGAUUCAAUCGUUGGACUGCGGGAGAUACUGUUAGGCUAGGAGGCGGGAGAAGCCGACGGUAUUUUCGGGGUAGGGGUAAAAUCCUAUAAUCCCGGGAAGACCACCAGUGGCGUAGGCGGUCGGCUAGCACGCGCUCGACGGUGAGGGACGAAAGCUGGGGGAGCGAACCG